rnacentral:rRNA from 1 species
CCCGCGGUUAAUAUCGUAGGUGGCCCAGCGUUAUUCCGGAAUUUUUGGGCGUNAAAGCCGCGGCGUAGACGNGUUUUUUAAGUCUUGAUGURAAAGGCCCCCGGCUCANCCGUGGAGGGUCAUUGGAAUCUGGAAAACUUGAGUGCAGAAGAGGAAAGUGGAAUUCCAUGUGUAACGGUGAAUGCGCAAAGAUACCAAGGAACACCAGUGGCGAAGGCGMCUUUUUUGGUCUGUA